rnacentral:rRNA from 1 species
GAGAGUUAAACAGUACGUGAAAUUGUUGAAAGGGAAACGAUUGAAGUCAGUCAUACCAACGGGAAAUCAACCUCUUGAGUUUGGUCUCGUGGGUUUCGAAGAGUUUUAAAAGCCUUCGGAUUUUCGAGAUUGGGCUCUUCUGGUGUACUUUCUCGUACGGUUAGUCAACAUCGGUUUUGAAUGUCAUAAAAUGACUGGAGGAAUGUGGCUUCGAUCUCGUAUUGAAGUGUUAUAGCCUUUGGUAGAUGUGAUGUUCGAGACCGAGGAUUGUGCAACGGAUACCCUUCUGGGCUAUUCGUCUGAUCUCUGAAACGUUGCCUUGAUGUCGAAAGCUUGCUUAUGAUGUUAGGGUAUUACGGUCAAAAGGUUAGAACGGAUUAAAUUCGUUAAGGAUGUUGACGUAAUGACUUUAAACGA